AAGUCGUAACAAGGUUUCCGUAGGUGAACCUGCGGAAGGAUCAUUAAUGAGUCAGGGUCUUCUGGGCCCGAUCUCCAACCCUUUGUAUAAAUACCAUGUUGCUUUGGCGAGCCCGUCUCUUGCGGGACCGCUGGGGGUCUCUAGACCUCUGGUCAGUGCUCGUCAGUAGCCCACAACCAAACUCUUUUAAUCAUGUUAUAUCUGAAAAUAGUUAAAUAAACUAAAACUUUCAACAACGGAUCUCUUGGUUCUG
rnacentral:misc_RNA from 1 species